GCAGGUCUGAGAUGAUGUCCUUCCUCUCCGCCUGCUCCAGGAAGGACAGCAGCUUCGCCACCGUGGCCCCGGCGCGGGUCUGCCAGUCCUCCAGCAGCUUCUGGGUGGGAUUCUCUCGCUUCUCGUAGUUUUUAAUCUCCAGAUUACGAAGUUUAUCUCCGGGAAAGAGGAAACAAUCGUGAAUUUCAUCAUCAGUGACGUAUUGGCACACAUCCAAUCACAUGCCCGAGCUGAUCCGCGUCAUCUUAACACCGGAAGUAAAAUUUCACCCUUGUCCAUUUCAGAAAUGAACAUCAUCUGCGUCAGUCAGUCUGUUGAGAAACCAGGAAACUGACAGGCGAAGUUCCCGGAUGAAAGAGCAGUCUCUGAUUUGUCCGCACCUGCGUUGAUCCAUGGGAUAUGUAGUUUUUGCAAAUGGACUACAAACAGAACCUUGCAUUUCUAGGGCCGCAGGGAGCCUGGAGCCUUUCCCAGGGGACCCGGGGCACAAGGUGGGGGACACGCUGGAUUGGGUGCCAACCCAUCACAGGGCACAAUCACGCACACACUCACACACUACAGACAAUUAGGAAAUGCCUACAGCGCAUGCCUCUGGACUGGGGAGGAAGCCAGAGUAUGCAGAGGAAACCCCCGAGGCACUGGGAGAACGUGCAAACUCCAAGCACGGGAUGGAGGCGCGAUUCAGGCCCUCAACAUUCAUGAAGUCUAAAUUAAUUAUUUUUAUUUUUAUUAUUUGUUUAUUUUUAUUUUUUAUUUUUCACACUGAUUUGUCUUGGAAAGUUACUGUUCAUGAAAUGAAUCAGCAUUUAUUCAGAUUCACUAAACCUAAGAAUUUUCACGCAUGAUGAAGCACAAAAAUGGUUUACUUUUAAUUGCAACUUUUCUACUCAACUCAUACAGAAGCCCUUCAUAAAAUACAGUGUUAUUUAACAAGUCAAGUGAAAUGUAGCCUUGAGGUCUAAACUCCAUGCAGGGAUUAAAAAAAAAAGCAUUUACUCUUUUAAUUAAAAGUAAAUCCUCCUCUGCUUCACAUUCAGCACAGGAAUAGAUACAAUCAUUAACAUGCUUCUUCUCUUCUCCUUUCUUGUAAAUAGAGACCAGAAAUAGGCUGCCACAACUUCUCACUUCUCAUUUAUGAGACAAAUCUGCCUGCAGAGUGUGUGUGUGUGUGUGUGGUAAUUCUCUGGCACUGAAUGGUGUUCUUCUGUUUCACACUUUCACAAUUUCAUCUCAAAACACACAUGCACUGUUGAAUUAAUAAUAAAAAAUACCUUAUUUCUUUCAAAUA